GUGCUCAGACUAAAGGCAUGCACUAUGCAUGGUGAAACUUAAUUCAUUUUCUUUUCCUUUCAGGUGCCAGGGAUGAAACACAGGGCCUUAAGCAUACCAGGCAUUACUCUACCACCGAGCUAAAGAUCCAGUGCUCUACAACCCUACUGUUCUGGAACUCACUAUGUAGUUACAAAUUCAUGUAAAUCUUCCAGUCUCAGCCUUCUGGGUCCUGGUAUUACAGGUACUCUCUGGAAGGCGGCAGAUACUUCUUGUCAACUUCCUUCCUCAUUCGGCCACUAUAGUCCUACCUAAUCAUCUAACAGCCCUGAUGAACAGCUACAGACCUGCUAAUACCCCAGAAGUAAUUUAAGAACAGAAUGAAAUGUUGCUGAAUGUGACGUGUGGAAGAUGAUCCAACAAGCAGAGCCUCUCUCUCACCUGUGUCCACAUGGCUUCAGCUGUGUGUCUGCUACCUCAUCACAACAGAGUGAACAGCAGUUCUCUCGAAUACUGACUUGCUUCAGCAGAGCAAGGCGCCUGUGCCUGAGCAGACAAAACAAUGUGAAAUUCAUUUCGUCAACAAGGAGUCAGCAGAGGGGCACAUAAAAUGCUCUCAAAAAGCCCUACACGGCUAAAAUACACUUUGUUGCAAUCUUUGUUUAGUAAGGUUUUCAUAUAUUUCAGCCUCAGCAGAGUGAAGAAGGCUUGGCUGUCAUUUCAUAAACAACAAAAGGUUCAAAUUCAAAUCCUUUGGUUUUCAGUCCAGUGUUGUUCUACCAGCAAAUUUCAACCAUUUAAGUCACAUAUAUUGAGAAUUUGGUGAAAUGUACAAGCCUUUCUCAGGGAAAAUACACACAGUUUUUACACAAGGUCAAGGGGUUUAUGACAUAUAGACUCUCUACAAGUUUAGACACCUUAGGUUUGAACCCUUCCAUUCCAAAUGGACAGAGAAGCAGACAUGCAUAACUGUUCUGAAGUUCACUUAUAGGCUUGUUAUGUGUCUGGCACUGCCCCAAGCCCUGGUAAUUCAGCAGUGAACAGGAGACCAAAUAGGUGUCCUUAGCUAGGCAUGGUGGCAUACAGGUAGAAUCAGCAUUUAGAAGCUAGGAGGCUAGGAUAGGGAGAUCUCCACGAGUCUUGGGCCAGCCUGGGCUCUAGAGGUAACAGAGUGGGUAAAAAAUAAAAGGCAAUCUACAAACAGAAAAAAACCAAAAAACCAAAAAAAAAAAAAAAAAACAAAACAAAAAACAGAAAAA